GACGAACGCUGGCGGCGUGCCUAAUACAUGCAAGUCGAACGCAGUGGGGACGGUUUAGUAACACGUGGGUAACCUCCCAUCAGAGGGGAUAACACUUGGAAACAGGUGCUAAACCGAUACUGAUGGAUGGACCCGGGGUGCAUUAGCUAGUGGGUGAGGUAACGGCUCACCAAGGCCACGAUGCAUAGCGGAACUUGGGGGGGGACAGGCCACACUGGGACUGGGACCGGGCCCGGCUUCCUAGGGGAGGCAGCAGUAGGAAAUCUUCGGCAAUGGACGAAAGUCUGACCGAGCAACGCCGCGUGAGUGAAGAAGGUUUUCGGAUCGUAAAACUCUGUUGUUAGAGAAGCGGUAUCUAACCAGAAAGCCACGGCUAACUACGUGCCAGCAGCCGCGGUAAUU
rnacentral:rRNA from 1 species